rnacentral:lncRNA from 1 species
UGGAUAUUAAAUGAAUUAAAAAGGGAAAAAUAACACAAAAUUUGUUAUCAUCUUCUUUAGUUGCUGCCGAAUUUUUUCUCUCUCCAUAGCUAGGGUUUCUUCAAUUUUCAAGCUCCAUAGUAAGUGAUUCCAAGCCCCGUUUUUAAUGUUCUUUACAUUUUCAGAGUCACGGUAGUUCGAUAAAGCUUAUGCUAGCAAUAAUUUAAGCUAGGGUUCAUAUUUGGAAAAAUAUCCAUAGGUGAAAAGUG